UACCAGAGAAAUUGGUGGACUGUGUACCC
rnacentral:piRNA from 1 species